UGCAGACCUAACUGGGUCCUUCUUAUUUUACAGAAGCCGUCAGGGAAGAACCAGCAGACAUCACAUAGGAUGACGAGGCAAGAGACAGAAUGAGAAGAGCUGACUCAAGAAGGCGUCGAGGGAGAAAGAAGAGGCGGCGUGGCAAGAGGACCGGACGCUUCGAGGUCAAGAGUGGAACGGCGUGGCAACACAUGGAACAAGAGGAUCGGACGCUUCGAGGUCAAGAGUGGAACGGCGUGGCAAGACAACGGAGCAAGAGGAUCAGCAGCUUCGUGGUCAAGAAGAGGUGGCACGAGGG